rnacentral:rRNA from 1 species
ACUCAACCUGAGAGUUUGAUCCUGGCUCAGAGCGAACGCUGGCGGCAGGCUUAACACAUGCAAGUCGAGCGCACUCUUCGGAGUGAGCGGCGGACGGGUGAGUAACACGUGGGAACGUGCCCUUCAGUUCGGGAUAACCAAGGGAAACUUUGGCUAACACCGGAUACGCCCUCAGGGGGAAAGGUUACGCUGAAGGAGCGGCCCGCGUCUGAUUAGCUAGUUGGUGGGGUAAAGGCUCACCAAGGCUACGAUCAGUAGCUGGUCUGAGAGGAUGAUCAGCCACACUGGGACUGAGACACGGCCCAGACUCCUACGGGAGGCAGCAGUGGGGAAUCUUGCGCAAUGGGCGAAAGCCUGACGCAGCCAUGCCGCGUGAAUGAUGAAGG